rnacentral:rRNA from 1 species
GGGUUGUGAGGUUAAGCGACUAAGCGUACACGGUGGAUGCCCUGGCAGUCAGAGGCGAUGAAGGGCGUGCUAAUCUGCGAUAAGCGCCGGUAAGGUGAUAUGAACCGUUAUAACCGGCGAUACCCGAAUGGGGAAACCCAGUGUGACUCGUCACACUAUCAUUAACUGAAUCCAUAGGUUAAUGAGGCGAACCGGGGGAACUGAAACAUCUAAGUACCCCGAGGAAAAGAAAUCAACCGAGAUUCCCCCAGUAGCGGCGAGCGAACGGGGAGGAGCCCAGAGCCUGAAUCAGCAUGUGUGUUAGUGGAAGCGUCUGGAAAGGCGCGCGAUACAGGGUGACAGCCCCGUACACAAAAGCGCAUGUGCUGUGAGCUCGAUGAGUAGGGCGGGACACGUGGUAUCCUGUCUGAAUAUGGGGGGACCAUCCUCCAAGGCUAAAUACUCCUGACUGACCGAUAGUGAACCAGUACCGUGAGGGAAAGGCGAAAAGAACCCCGGCGAGGGGAGUGAAAAAGAACCUGAAACCGUGUACGUACAAGCAGUGGGAGCACAGGUUUACCUGUGUGACUGCGUACCUUUUGUAUAAUGGGUCAGCGACUUAUAUUCUGUAGCAAGGUUAACCGAAUAGGGGAGCCGGAGGGAAACCGAGUCUUAACCGGGCGUUAAGUUGCAGGGUAUAGACCCGAAACCCGGUGAUCUAGCCAUGGGCAGGUUGAAGGUUGGGUAACACUAACUGGAGGACCGAACCGACUAAUGUUGAAAAAUUAGCGGAUGACCUGUGGCUGGGGGUGAAAGGCCAAUCAAACCGGGAGAUAGCUGGUUCUCCCCGAAAGCUAUUUAGGUAGCGCCUCGUGAAUUCAUCUCCGGGGGUAGAGCACUGUUUCGGCUAGGGGGCCAUCCCGGCUUACCAACCCGAUGCAAACUGCGAAUACCGGAGAAUGUUAUCACGGGAGACACACGGCGGGUGCUAACGUCCGUCGUGAAGAGGGAAACAACCCAGACCGCCAGCUAAGGUCCCAAAGUCAUGGUUAAGUGGGAAACGAUGUGGGAAGGCCCAGACAGCCAGGAUGUUGGCUUAGAAGCAGCCAUCAUUUAAAGAAAGCGUAAUAGCUCACUGGUCGAGUCGGCCUGCGCGGAAGAUGUAACGGGGCUAAACCAUGCACCGAAGCUGCGGCAGCGACGCUGAUGCGUUGUUGGGUAGGGGAGCGUUCUGUAAGCCUGCGAAGGUGGCCUGUGAGGGUUGCUGGAGGUAUCAGAAGUGCGAAUGCUGACAUAAGUAACGAUAAAGCGGGUGAAAAGCCCGCUCGCCGGAAGACCAAGGGUUCCUGUCCAACGUUAAUCGGGGCAGGGUGAGUCGACCCCUAAGGCGAGGCCGAAAGGCGUAGUCGAUGGGAAACGGGUUAAUAUUCCCGUACUUGGUGUUACUGCGAAGGGGGGACGGAGAAGGCUAUGUU